AGAGCUGUUUCCGUUCCUCUGCCCGCCAUGCCGUUCCUAGAGCUGCACACGAAUUUCCCCGCCAACCGAGUGCCCGCGGGGCUGGAGAAACGGCUGUGCGCCGUCGCUGCCUCCAUCUUGGGCAAACCUGCAGACCUUGUGAACGUGACGGUACGGCCGGGCCUGGCCAGGGCGCUGAGCGGGUCCACCGAGCCCUGCGCGCAGCUGUCCAUCUCCUCCAUCGGCGUAGUGGGCACCGCCGAGGACAACCGCAGCCACAGUGCCCACUUCUUUGAGUUUCUCACCAAGGAGCUAGCCCUGGGCCAGGACCGGUGCGCAGGGGUAGUAGGCCCGGAAUAUUAUUCUAAAACACAAUCAGAGUACUCCAUUCCUGCUAACAGUUUAAAGCCAAACACCUAGGCAGGCCAUUUAGGCUUCUGAAUGACUGGGUCUUGACCAGGAGAGCUGCUGUCUAGGUUUUCUCUUCCUGACCAGUUCCUCAAGAGAAAUGCAAAACUAGUGAUUAACAGUAAGAGUCAGGCAGGGCGCGGUGGCUCACGCCUGUAAUCCCAGCACUUUGGGAGGCCGAG